ensembl:lncRNA
UUUAUAAUAAUACAAACUAAUGUUGUAUUUUUCCAUACUUUUCUCUGUUGCUUUUACAAACAUAAAUACACACAGAGAACUUUUCUUUCUUUAUUUGUCUGUUUUUAAUGAGAUAGGAAAAGACAUACACACACACACAUAUAUAUAUAACUUUUCAGCCAUCUUGCUUUUAGGAGAUGGCCAAAGAGUAUAUGUAUUUCAAUAGCUGUUACCAGUCAACUUUCUUUAAAAGCUACAUUAACUCUCAUUUCCACCAAUAGUGUUUUUACCCUUGAUCAUAUGAGCCAAUGUGAUAGAGAAAAGUUAUCUCCUUUAUUUCAUUUGCUUUAACUGAAUAUUGGAGAGGCUGUCCAUCUUUUCUCGUAUCUAUUUGACCAUUUGGAUGUGCUCUUUGUCUAUUUUCUUUUUUAAAACUUUAAAAAAAUUGUCAGUUAUCAGCAUUGCAACUAUUUCCCCAAUGUAUUGUCAAUUUCAUUUAUGGUAUUUUUUUCAUCUGUUUUAAAAAUUAAGGUCAAAGAUGCAUAUCUCUUAAAAAUAGAAAUUGAAGUAUCUGGCUUUAUUUAGAGAGUUCUCUGUACUCUACCAGGUGUUCAUGUAGACACCUGUAUUAGUUUUCUAUUACUACAAUAAAAAACUUCUCACUAAGUUGUCAUCUUAUAAUUUGUAGUAGGUCAGAAGUCACACCCACAGAGGUUUCACAGAGCUGAAAUCAAGGCACUGUGAGUGCUACAUUCCUUUCUGGAGGCUCUAGGGAGAAUCUGUUUCCUUGCUCAUUUGAGUUGUUGGCAGAAUUUACUUUCUUGCACUACAGGACCUCCAUUUCCUUGUUGGUUGUCCCUGGAGGGAUGUUCUCAGCUUCUAGAGGUCAACCACAUUCCUUGCCUCUCUCCUUUCUUCAUCUUCAAAGCCAUCACUGGCCUGUCAGGUCCUUCUAAUGUUCACAUUUUUUCCCCCUUCUUCUCUGGUCUUCAUCUCUCUAAUUCAACCAAGAAAGAUUCUUCAGUUUUCAAGAUCUGUGUGAUUGGUCCUACCCGGAUAAUAUGGAAUAAUUUCCCUCAAGGACAUCAAGGUCCUUAAUCAUAUCUCUGAAAUCCUUUUGCUGUGUGGGAUAACAUAUUUAUAGGUUCCAGGAAUUAGGGUGUAGACAUCUUUGAGGGGUCAUUAUUCUUUCUACCGCAAUAUCUAAAUGUUAUUUUUCUUAAUUUUUUAAAUAUACCUGAGAUUUAUUUGUACAUAUGGUGUGAGAGUACAAGCUUGUUAAUAGGUUUGAUCAUCUUUUCAUGAAAUUAUUGGCUCUUCUGUAAAUUGCCUAUUUAAAACCUAAGCUCAUCUUAAGCGGUAACAUAAUGUCAUUUUAUUGUCAUUUAGUGAAAGCUCUUCGUUUCGGGUAAAUAUUAAUCUUCAGCCUUUUAUCUGUCUAUCGUGAUAAAAAUAGCCUUUUGUGAACAAAAAUAGGCACAGUUUCUAACCUCAUGAAACUUACAUUCAGGGGGAACAUAGAUGUUAAAUUUAGAAGUGAACAUUUAAUUACAGAGUCACAUAAAGUGCUUGAAAAAAGAACAAGCCAGGCUCUGUGGUAGAGAAUUUGGAAGAAAUUCAUGGAAGUUGUCUGUAAGGUUCACAGAAAUUGUCUUAUAACGCCAUGAUAUUGCAACUAAGACCCGAAAGACAGGUAAAGAGUUAUCAGGUAGAAGCACAGAAGACAAGGGUGUUCCUGGCAACUCUCUUCUCAUCUCCACCAUCCUGUGUGCGGCUGAAUUUGCUCCUCGUCAUUGCUUUUCACAAGACUUUCAGGGUCAAGUGAUUCCUGGUCAUGAAACAAAAGAAUCAUCAAUCCAUUCUUCAAUGGAUUCGAAUGAAAAGGGUAAUAAAAUCAGGUCCAACUCCAAGAGAAGACACAGGAGAAGAACAAGGCUGGCUCUAUGAGGAACCUCACCUAUGAAGUGGCACUCGGUGUCAAGGUUACUUGCCUUUUACCAUAUCACUCUGAGAACAUCACUACUGUCUGAGCAGUUGGCUGUGUUUCCCUGGACGAUGAUUUUUCUCUUUCUGUUGGUGUUUCUUCUUCGCUAGUGUGUUGGUUUAGUAAUAAAUCUAGAAAUUGGUGGGAAAAAAAAAUGUUCCUAGCAGAGACAGUAGUGCAAAGAUCCUGAGGUAGUGUAUAGGGCUAAUUAAAGACAAAUUUUCUAUAAAUCUGAAGCUAUUUUUAUAACAGGCUAUUUGUAUAGAUUAAAGAGAUUCAGGUUCAUAGAAAGUGGGACUUUUUUUCCUUCAGUAUUUUUUUGUUAGCUUUAUGGAAGUAUACUUUAUAUAUAAUAAAAUUUACCAGUUUAAAGUUUAUAAUCCAAUGAUUUUUAAUGAACGUUUAUAGUUCUGUAACUAUUUCUAUCCCCACAAAAAUUUCCUGAUGUCCUUUUGUAGUCAGUCUGCUUCCCACCCAUCCCAAAGCCACUGUUGAACUAUAAUCUUGUCACUGUUAACUUGAUCUUUGUAGACUUUCAUCUAAGUGUAAUUAUUCAGAAAGUAGUAUUUUUCUCCAGCUUCUGUCAUUUAGCAUGCUAACUUUGAGAUAUUUUUUUUCAUAUUGUAUGUUUCAGUAAUUGGUUUCCUUUUAAGGCUGAGUGUAUUUAUCCCUUUUUAUAGGCAUACAACAUUUAUUUAUCAGUUUACUAAAUGUUGGACAUUGGGAUUGUUUCCAGUUUGGCGCUGUUAUAAACGAAGUUGCCGUAAACAUUAACUACAAAUCUUCACGUGGAUAGAUGUCUUCUCUUAGUGAAAUCCCUAGGAGUGGGAUUACUGGGUUAUAUAGUUGGUAUAUAUUUCACUUGUAUUCUGUGACCUUGUUAAUAUCUCUUAUUUGCUAUAGUGGGAGUCUUUAAAGCAGAUUUCUUAGGAUUUUCAACAUAGAUGAUCUGUAAAUAAAGACAGUUUUAUUUGUUUCCAAUCUAUAUGCUUCUUAUUUCUCUUGCCUAUUUCACUGUGUAGGACCAGCAAUUCAGUGUUAGUGGUGAGAGCAGAUAACCUUGUCUUGCCCUGAUCUCAUGGAGAAGCAUUCAUUCUUUCAGUAUUAGGUAUGCUAACAGGUAUAAGUUUUAUUAGUUGCUCCUUAUCAAAUUGAGGAAUUUCCCUUUUGUUCCUAGUUUGCUGAGAGUUUUUGUCAAGAAUGGAUGGUAAAUUUCAUUAAGUAGUUUUUAUAUCUCUAUUUUUUAGUUUUUUGAUAUUGUGAAUUGAAUUACAUUGGGCUGUGUGUGUGUGUGUGUGCGCGCGCGCGUGCAUGUGUGUGCCACACUAUGCGGCUUGUGGGACUUAAGUUCCCAGACCAGGGAUUGAACCUGGGCCCUCAGCAGUGAGAGUUUGGAGUCCUAACCACUGGACCACCAAGGAAUUCCCUAUAUUUAUUUUUCAAAUGUUAAACUAACUUUGCAUUUUCAGGAUGAACCCCCCCUAGAUUUUGGUAUAUCAGCCUUUUUAUUUACUAUUGCAUUCAAUUUGCUUAAAUGUUAAGCCUUUUUAUAUCUAAGUUCAUGAAGAUUAUUGAUUUGAGGUUUUGUUUGUCUGUUUGAUUUGGUUUUUAAUUUUUUUUUUUUUUUUUGUCAUUUGGGUAUCAGGGUAAUGCUGGCCUCAUAAAAUAAGUUGGAAGAAUUGCCUCCUCUUGUAUUUCCUAGAAAUGUUUGUGUAGAAUUGUGUAAAUACUCUUUCCAAAAUGUUUGGUAGAAUUCACCACUGAGGCCAUCUAGACCUGUAGUUUUCUUUGUGGGAUUUUUUUUUUUUAAGUUCCAUUACAAGUUAUAAGUUCCAUUUCUUUAUGAACAUAAGACUAUUCAGGUUAUAUAUUCCUUCUUGAGCAAGCUUUGAAAGUUUGUGUCUUUUAGGGAAUUUUAAAGGAAUUCUAUAUUGUUGAGUUGGUUCUAAUAUUCUCAGAGGGUGAGAUGGUUGGAUGGCUUCACUCAGUGGGCAUGAGUUUGAGCAAACUCCAGGAGACAAUGAAGAACAGGGAAGCCUGGCAUGCUGCAGUUCAUGGAGUUGCAAAGAGUCAGACAUGACAUAGCAACUGAACAACAAUAUUCCCUAAUGUUCUUUGAAUGUCUCUAGGAUCUGUAGAUGUUUCCUCAUUCAUUUCCAAUCAUGGUAAUUUACGUCAUCUCAGGUUUUUUUUUUUUUUUUCUCUUUUCCUAACCAGUCUGUCUACUGCCUAGAGGUUGAUCAGUUACAUUAAUCUAUUUUAAAAGUGUUUGGUUUCAUUGAUUUUUCUCUAUUGUUUAUGUAUGUGUGUGUGCUCAGUCGUGUCUGACUGUGACCCCAUGGACUGUAGCCUGCCAGGCUCCUCUGUCCAUGGAAUUUUUCAGGCAAGAAUACUGGAGCAGGUUGCCAUUUCCUACUCCAGGGAAUCUUCCCAAGCCAGAGAUGGAAUUAGAAUCUCUUGCGUCUCCUGCACUGACAAGUGGAUUCUUUACCACUAGCAACACCUGGGAAGCCCUUCUAUAGUUUAUACAUUUUCUUUCAUUGAUUUCCACUCUCUAUUAUUUCCUUACUUAUUAUUUCUUACUACGGGUUUAAUUUGUUCUUCUAUUUUUUUCUAAUUUCUGAGGUACAAGUUUAGAGUAUUGCUGUCAGACCUUUCUUCUUCCUUUUAAAAAUAAUUUAUAAUUUAUUUAUAUUUAUUUUUGGCUGUGCUGGGUCUUCGUUACUGCGUGUGGGCUUUUCUCCAGUUGCAGCGCGCAGGGGUUACUCUUUCUUGAUGGUUUCAUUGUGAUGGUUUCUCUUGUUGUGGAGCAGACUCUAGUGCGUGAGCUUCAGUAAUUGUAGCAUGUGGGCUCAGGAGUUGUGGCACACAGGCUUAGUUACUCCCCAGAAUGUAGGAUCUUCCUAGACCAGGGAUUGAACCUGUGUCCCCUGAGUUGGCAUGCAGAUUCUUAACCACAGGACCACCAGGGAAGUCCAGGACCUUUCAUCUUUUCUAAGGUAAGAAUUUAAUGCUAUUAUUUUCCUGUAAGCACUGCCUUAACUACAUUUACUGCAUUAUGAUAAAUUACACUAUUAAAUUUUGUUCAGGUCAAGAUAUUUUCUAAUUUCCUUUGUGAUUUCUCAUAAGAUCUGUGAGUUAUGCUUAAUUUCCAGAAAUUUUGAUGAGUUGUCAUCUCUAUUGUUGCUGAUUUUUGGUUUAAUUCUGUUUUGGUCAGAGGACAUACUUCGGAAGUUUGAAUCCUUUUAAACAUAUUAAGAAUUACUUUUUUGGUCAGAUUAUGAGCCAAUAAUCAUAUGACAAGAGGACCAAGCCAUUAUCAUACCUGGACCCUCUUAAAAUUCACCCCCAAUGUUUGACUCAUAACUAAACUGUGUCAUUUCAUUUAAUUAAAUUUGAACUUAAGUCAGUCCUUAUGGUGCUCUAUGAGGCUUACAAUCAGAAGCCAGUAAUGGAGGUGAAAGUUCUAUUGAAUGCCUUGUCCAAGAGUUCAGUCCUGUGUAUUUUUAGAAGUGAAAUGAAUGUCUUGGUCAUUCUCACUGUCAGGAACUCUGAAGGGGAUAAAGGGUAUCUUGGUGAGGCCUUGUAUUGUGGCUCUAGUAUGUACAGUGACAUGUCUGACUUUGAUUUGUUUUGAGGCAUUUGUGAAGCCAGAACAUUCCCAGAGUUCUUUAUCCCAAAAGAGGUGACCUUGAGUAAAGAGUUGUUGCCACCAUUGGUUGGACCAAAUGGCUAGACCACUGACUAUGGCCUAAAUGUCUGGAAAAAUGUGCAGAAAGGACCAAUUGGUGGCUGAGACAUCCUUUAUUGCUAAGAGAACUGCCAACAUUUGGCAAAUUGGGUGGACCCUCAGGUUCUAUCCUUUAUCAGAGAUGUCUGGUAAGGAAUGGAGGCAAAGAGAGAAAGCAGACUUCAUCAGGGGUGAUCGUGGCACUGUCAUCCUUCAAGCAUAUGAACUGUUCACUCAACAGAUCCUCAGGAGCUUCCCAAGUGACCAAGGAUGUGGGGGAGGGAUGAUCUCCAACACUGUGGUGGCCACCCUCCUUCAGGAGGGAUUUGCUGCAGGACCAGGUUUGGCUCUGUCUUCUAGAUACCAUUUUCAUUUUAUCUAGGCGACAUCAACAACCAUGCCAAGUUUGUGGGUGAUUCAUUAUGUACCGAUAGAUAGCUAGACUAGACUUGAAGCAGUUGAUCAAAUGUACAGCUCAAUAUAUGAUCGAUGAUUGUAAUAGUGUAACUCUAGAAGGCAAUGGCACCCCACUCCAGUAUGCUUGCCUGGAAAAUCCCAUGGACGGAGGAGCCUGGUAGGCCACAGUCCAUGGGGUCAUGAAGAGUCGGACACGACUGAGCUUCUUCAUUUUCACUUUCAUGCAUUGGAGAAGGAAAUGGCAACCCAGUCCAGUGUUCUCACCUGGAGAAUCCCAGGGACGGGGGAGCCUGGUGGGCUGCCAUCUAUGGGAUCACAUAGAGUCGGACAUGACUGAAGCAACUUAGCAGCAACUUAGCAGCAAUAGAUAGCUAGAAGAAAUAAGGGCCAAUGUUUAUUGAGUACUAAGCACUACACCAUUUAAGACUCUUUUAUGGCUGUGAUUUUUUUUCUAUUUUUAAAUUCACUUUGCUUCUGUGAUCCAGGAAAAGGUCAGGCAUUCUCUGCUUAGAGUGGUGAAGGGCAAGGUCUUUGUAGACAGACAGACAGAACAAAGCUUAACUCUUGGCUCUGCCUACAUUCACUGUCUUAACUUAGGCACCUUCAUCUUUCCUUAACUUGGAAACUCAGCUGAUAAGUCUUUGAGACAAGUGCAUAAGAAAAUAUAUGGAAGUAGUUUAACAUAGUGGCUGUUAUGUAGUGAGACUUCAGUUAAGUGUUAAUGAUAAUUUUACUACCCAAUUUGCAUCUCAGCUGUUCACUCGCUGUGGACCAGCCUGAACCUCAGUUUCUUCCUCUACUAUGUGAGGAUAAUAAUAAGCAUCUCAGAGUUGUUUUGAGAUCUAACCCAGUGUCUUACACUACAACACAUUUACUCUCAGUGUAACAGAGCAGUACAAACGACAAAGACCCACCUCCAAAGGCAUUGUCAUGGGACCGCCAACACUCUGGAACGCAAACAUUUCUGUAAUGUAGCAGCUCCUACAAUACAGCUCAACACACAUUCUUGUCUAUGCAGUUCAUCUGCGUCCCAGACAUCAUGCUUGUGAUCUCAGCCCUGCAUGCUGGGUCGGGGGUGGUGUUUCUUUUGCAUAACAUAGUGGUUGAAAGCUUGCUGUCCUGGAGUCAAAUCCUAGGUCUUCCUCUUAUUAGCUGUGUGAACUAAGAUAAGUUAUUUAACUUCUCCAGAAGUCAAAUACAAAUUAGGGCUAGUUAAUGUCUGUCAUUUCUCAAUGUAACUCCAACCUCUGAGGUUUAGAGGAAAAAACAAUAUGGGAUAAGCAAAUUAGAUUUUUUUAAAAAACUUACUGUUUUAAUCACAGGUUCUGUCCCAAAAAGAAAUCUCAAUUCUUGGCUCCAAAAAAGGGAGAGGGAUGGGUAUAGCAUGAAGAAUUUAAUUUAGACCUGAGAUGACAUUCUCGGCAGCAUGGGUCACUCAAAGAAAAGUAAUGACUAAGAGGAAGGAAAAGAGGCGGAAGCCACAUUAGUAGGAUCUCAAAACAAAAGGCAGCUUCACCGAGACGAAAUGAUUUGACUGUAGUCUUGGGCAGGCAGAAAAGAUAGCUAGAUCAGUGGUUUCCAAAUGUUUUUGAUCAGUCCUGUAGGUAUAUAUUAUAUAUGUAUAUAUAUAUAGUACAUAAAGUACAAUUCUCUUAAGUAAAUAGGAGAAAUUUGACUAGAAUUAUCUUUGGAUUGCCUGGAGUUAUUGCUUCUCUUUGACAGUAAACCAAAAAAUGAAGUAUGGUUAUGAAGUAUAUUUAUAGUGUGUGAGUGUUGAUACAUAUUAUGUGUAUAACACAGCGAGAGAGAAAGAGAGGAUAUGUGCUGGGUCUUUGUGUCGUCUAAUGUUUAACUGAUCUAUUGUAUUUCAGUUUUUAAAGUGCUGGUCACAAUCCACUAAAUGUUUUACACCUCUCAUCCAUGAGCCAUGACUCACAAUUUGAAAACCCGAGACUAGGUGAUUUCUUUCUAUCCAUUUUAAUAUGAGCCCAAGAGAGGCUUAUUCUCACUCCAUACUUGAUGUUUCAACGUAAAUCUUUUGGAUUUACAUAAAGUACAAUUCUCUCAAGUAAACAGGAGAAAUUUGACUAGAAUUAUUUUCGGAUUGCCUGGGGUUAUCGCUUCUCUUUGACAGUAAACCAAAAAACUGAAGCAUGGUUAUGGUCUGAUGGCUUGAGUUGAAUUCUGGCUCUGCCUCUAGCUGGCUGUCUCAGCUGCCUCAGUUUCUUCAUCUGUAUAACAGAAAUAAUAAUAAUUAUGCUGCUGCUGCUGCUGCUCACUCACUCAGUCGUGUCCGACUCUUUGUGACCCCAUGCUCCUCUGCCCAUGGGAUUCUCGAGGCAAGAAUACUGGAGUGGGUUGCUAUUUCCUUCUCCAAAAGAAGUCCUAGACUCACUCAAACAAAUAUUAAAGACUUAAAAUAGAUUCCAAUUAAGUGAACUACAUGUCAGAAGAAAGCCUAAUACUACUUUGCUGCUAAGUCACUUCAGUCGUGACCCGACUCUGUACGACCCCGUAGACGGCAGCCCACCAGGCUCCCCCAUCCCUGGGAUUCUCCAGGCAAGAACACUGGAGUGGGUUGCCAUUUCCUUCUCCAAUAAUAAUAAUAAAUAAUAGUAAAAGUAGUAGUACUAGCAGUAGUACCUGCCUCCUGAGUAACCAGGUAAGACAACACAGGCUUGGGACAUAGUAAAUGCCCCCAAAUAUUGGCAACCGUAUUAUUUAUUAUUUUUGAAUAUUCAGUGCUAUUGUCUUGCAGCGGAGACCUGAAGACAGCUUAGCCAUAAGCAACACUAAACUAAGGAAAGAAACUGCAGGCAGUAAAUUGGCAUCUUUGGAAAGUUUCCCAUUGGACCUGCCUUACCCUGGACAGACACUAGAGGGUGCUCCAUGCUCAGAAAGCCGCCUAUUUCCAGGCCCAGAGACCUCUGCCAGUGAUGGCUUACAUGAAGCUCACUUUCCCUUUGAGUCUGGUGAUUAACUGUGAAGGAGCUGCUGCAUUGGUUCUAAAACGAAGAACUUUGGAGGAAUUAGGAGGCACAGCAGUCAGUUGUAUCAGGCAGAAAUUUAGCUCCCUCAGAAUUUCACUAAUUGGCUUUUAGCUGGGCUGUGACUUUCUGGAAUACUGGGGCAGCAUCUUACUCAACCACAAGCCCCAGAGUCUAACACACAUAACAUCUGAAAUAUUGUGAUCACUUUGUAAGUAUCGGGGCUUCUCUCGUGGCUCAGAUGGUAGAGAAUCCCCCUGCAAAGCAGGAGCCCUGAGUUUGAUCCCUGGGUCAGGAAGAUCCCCUGGAGAAGGGAAUGGCUACCCACUCCAGCAUUCCUGCCUGGAAAACUCCUUGGACAGAGGAGCUGAUGGGCUACAGUACAUGGGGUUGCAAAGAGUCAUAUACAACUGACUGACUGACACUUUCACACUUUGUCAAUAUCUGUGAAAAGGCCUGAAAGUGAAAGUGAAGUCGCUCAGAAUAAUUAUAAUUACAAAUUGGCAAGUGCUGGUAUGUAUGGCCACUGAGCAUUAUGAAAGCCUCCAGAAGGCUGUGAUUGGGGCAGGUUAGCUGGACUAGCUUCCUUAAAUUCGGGAGUCCUGGUCCUCUCAAGAGUACAAAGAAAUUCUCUUCCACAUUUGGCUUUUGAUAUUUAAAAACAGCUUUGUGCUCCAUUUCCUGCACGUCUUUCAUGUGGAGUGAUUUCUAGGUUUCUUACCAAGUUGAUCACUCCCUGCAGAAUUGUAAGAAGCAAAUAAUAGUUUAGGGUCUACUGGGUUCAAUAACCUCCUGCUAUUCUACACAUCAUUUAAUUAUAUCUGUAUCUCAUUUAAUUUUCAUAACAAUCCUGUGAGACUAAGGUUAUUAUCCACACUCUACAGAUUAGGAUAAGGCAGGAUUUCAUAACUAGCCCAGGUUCACACUAUUAGUGAGUAGCAGGGCCAGUGUUUGAACCCUGAUAAUCUAGCUUCAAAAGAUGCUCCUCAGGGAAUUCCCUGGUGGUCUGCUGGUUAAGACUUGGCACUUUCACUGCUGUGGGCCUGGUUUUGAUCCCUGGUCAAGGAACUAAGAUCCCACAAGCAGCAUGAUGUGGCAAAAAAAAAAAAAAUAUAUAUAUAUAUAUAUGUUCUUUACACUGUGAAUUAGCUAUAUUACAAUUAAAAAUUUUAAAGAUGGUUGUUUAAAAUUUCACGUAAAAGAAUAACAACAAUAGCUAACAGUAUAGAGGGUGCCACGUACUCUUCCAAAUGGUUUAUAUUCGCCAACUCAUUUAAGUAAUUUAUUCAUCACAUAUAUUCAGCUGUCACCUAUUUUGUUAGUACAAAAACCUUAAUACAGAAAAGUAAAGAGAAUAAUAUGAUAAACAGCAUGCACUUAUCACCUGGAAUGAAAAAAUAGUUAAUGCUAAUAUUGUCUAGCCAAAGCAAUCUUGAAAAAUAACGAAGUUGGAGAGCUUACACUUCCCAAUUUCAAAAGCUACAGUAAUCAAGGCAAUGGGGGCCUGGCAAAAGGAUAAAUGUAUAGAUCAGUGGACUAGAAUUGAGAGUCCAGAAAUAACCCAUAUAUCUAUGGUCAAGGUGUCCAGACCAUUCAAUGAAGAAAGAUCCUUUUUUUCAACAAUGGUGCUGGAACAAGUGGAUAUCCACUUGUUCAAAGUGCAAAAGAAUGAAUUUGGAUCCCUAAAUUCCCCAUUCAUUCUAUAAAAAUUAGCUCAAAAUGGGUCCAAAACCUAAAUAUAAGCGCUAAAGUAUAAAAUGCUCAGGAGACACAGGUGUAAAUAUUUUUGAUUAGGCAGUGGUUUCUAGAUAUUACACCAAAAUCACAAAAAGAAAAAAAUAAACUGGGCUUAAUCAAAAUUUAAAACUUGUGUGGAUUGAGGCACUAUCAAGAAAGUUAAAAGACAAGCCUCAGCAUGGAAAAACAUAUUUGCUAAUCAUAGCUCUGAUAAGGGUCUUGUAUCCAGAAUAUAUGAAGAGCUCUUACAAUGUAACAAUGAAAAGACAAAUAACACAAUUUAAGAUUGGGCAAAUGAUUAGAAUAGACAUUUCUCCAUAGAAGAUAUACAAAUGGCCAAUAAGCAUAUGAAAAGACAAUAUUGUUAGUCAUCAGGGAAAGGCAAAUCACAACAACAGUGAGAUACUACUUCAAACCCAGAAGCAUGGCUCUAAUCAGAAAGACAAUAAACGGUUAGCAAGGAUGCAGGGAAAUUGGAACCCUCAUGUAUUGCUAGUGGGAACACAAAAUGGUCGAACUACUGUGGAGAACAGUUUAGCGUGUUCUCACAUGGGUGCUAUAGGACCCAGGGAUUCCACUCCUAGGUGUAUGCCUCAGAGACUGAAAACAUACGGUUUAUAUAAAGAUUUGUAUAUGAAUGUUCAUAGCGGCAUGAUUCAUAAUAGCCAGAAAGUGGGAACAACUCACAUGUCUAUCAACUGAUGACUAGAUAAACACAAUACGGAAUAUCAUGCGAAGGGAUAUAUAAUUCUACCAUGAAAAGGAAUAAAGUGCAGAUACUACCGCAUGGAUGAACCUUGAAAGAAGUAAAAGAAUGCUGUCCCAGAAGCCAGAUGCCAUGUAUUGUGUGAUUUGUUAUAUUAAAUGACCAGAUAGGCAAAUCCAUUGAGAUGUGUGAUUUCCAGGGGCGAAAGAGAGGCAGCAAUGGGGAGUGACUGCUAAUGGGCACAGGAUUUCUUCAAGGGGAUGAUGAAAAUGUUUUUAAAUUAGGUAGUGGUGAUGGUUGAGCAACCUUGUGAAUAUACUGAAAAUCACUGAAUUUUACACUUUAAAAGUGGUGAAUUUUAUGGCAUGUAAAUUAUAUCUAAAUAUGCAAAAAAGAGAAAAGUUUAUAUUCUCAUCUCUAGCUCAGUUGUACGCAAACAUUCUGGUCAGAAAACCCCUCUAUAUUCUUAACAACUAUUGUGGGCCCCCAAGAGCUUUUGUUUAUGGGUUUUGUUUUCAGUUUUGUUUAUGUGUUUAUGUUAAAUACCCAUUGACAUUCACCAUUAAAACAGAAAAUUUUAAAUAUUUGUGAAUUCAUCUAAAGUAGCAUUAAUAAACCGUAUACAUGUUACCAUGAGUAAUGGUUUUUGAAAAAUAUAUUUUCUGAACCAAAAAAAUUAGCAAGAAGAGUGGCAUUGUUUUUGCAUUUUGGCAAAUCUCUUUAAUAUCUAGCUUAAUAUAAACCAGGCAGAUUCUCAUAUCUGUUUCUGCAUUCAAUCUGUUUUAAUAUGUUGUUUGGGUUGAAAUACAUGAAGAAAACCCUCCAAUUUCACAGAUUUGUAGUUAGAAGGAGGAGUAUUUUAUAGCUUUUUAAACAAUUGUAGUUAUUUUUCUUAGAUAUCAUACCCAAACUGGGCAAGCGGUAGUUUCUUGGAGAUCAGUUGCAAUGUGGAAUCUGAAAUCAGAUCAACAAACUUUUCAUUCUGUUACAUUAAAAUGCUGACACAUUUCAUGAUUCAAUACCAAAAUUUCACAUUCACUGAUAUCAACACCAAGCUCAUUAGAAAAGUCUAGGUUUAAGGAAGCUAUAAGCUCUGGGUGGUAGAUCUAAGUUUUCCAAAAUAUCAAUAUUUGUUUUAAAACUUGAAUCUCAUAAUUAACAAUGAAAGCUGCCAGUCGUUUUCCUUAAAAGGGAAAGCUCACUUUCUUUAAAAUACAAAAAAAAAUCGAGGUUUUCCUGGUGGGUCAUUGGUAAAGAAUCUGCCUGCCAAUUCAGGAGACACAGGUUUGAGCCCUGAUCUGGGAAGAUCCCCCAUGCUGAAACUAAGCCUGUGCACCACAACUAUUGAGGCUGUGCUCUAGAGCCCAGGAGCCACAACUCCCAAAGCCCACGUGCCCUAGAGCCCGUGCUCUGCAGCAAGAGAAGCCACUGCAAAGAGCGGCCCUCUCACUGCAGCUAGAGCGUAGCCCCCACUUCCACAACUAGGGAAAAGUCCGUGCAACAGUGAAGACCCAGCACAGCCAAAAAUAAAAUACAGGUAAAUAAAAUUAUUUCAAAUAUCUAUCAAUACCCAGGUCUGAAUUAGCAUAGAUUUCUUUUUCUGUCAGUCACUGUUUCAAGGAAAAAUGGUGUUCCUUUUUUUAAAAGCAGCUAGGGUAGCUCACCAGAGAAGGCAAUGGCACCCCACUCCAGUGCUCUUGCCUGGAAAAUCCCAUGGAUGGAGGAGCCUGGUAGGUUGCAGUCCACGGGGUCGCUCAGGGUUGGACACGAUUGAGCAACUUCACUUCCACUUUUCACAUUCAUGCAUUGGAGAAGGAAAUGGCAACCCACUCCAGUGUUCUUGCCUGGAGAAUCCUAGGCUCCUCUGUCCAUGAAAUUUCCCAGGAAGAAUACUGGCUGCUGCUGCUGCUAAGUCGCUUCAGUCUUGUCCGACUCUCUGCAACCCCACAGACUGCAGCCUACCAGCCUCCUCUGUCCAUGGGAUUUUCCAGGCGAGAGUACUGGAGUGGGUUGCCAGUGUCAUUUCCUCUCCAGGGGAUCUUCCCAACACAGGGAUCAAACCCAAGUCUCUUGGAUUUCCUGCUUGGCAGGAAAUCUUCCCAGGCUUUCCUGGGAAGCCACACCUUAGUAAGAGUGGAAUUCAAAUGAAGUAAGAAUGUACUGGACAGUUCUUUAUCCAGUGUAUUAAAUAAAUGUGUUACCUACUCAGUCAGACUCAUUUACCUUCGCCUGCAAGGAGUGGGGCUGCAGGUUCUAACCCUGAGCAAGGUCAGCUCAGUCAGCCCCUCCCCUAGUGGCCUCUCCUUUUUCACAGGAAUCUUAGUUGAGUCAUAUCUCUUCUAUUCCAAAUGGGGAUUUUUUAAAAAAAUAUUUACCUUUAUUUAUUUAUUUGGUUGGUUGCACUGGGUCUUAGUUGUGGCAUGAGAACUUGUAACUGUGGCAUGGGGAAUCUAGUUCCCUGACCAGGGAUUGAACCGGAGCGCCCUGCAUUGGGAGCUAGGAGUCUUAACCACUAGACCACCAGGGAAGUCCCCAAAUGGGGAUUCUUUCUUUGGAGAGAAUCUGAUAAAAGACCUGACAUCAAUCCUAAUUUUUGAAAACAUCUCAUUCCUUUCUGCAGGCUCUCCCAUUCUUCUUCCUUUCCUAGCUUGUUGAAAUCUUAUAAAAUUUUGCCUGCUAAGUCGGUAGAUUUGUAUUGCUAACAAGCCUGUCUUCUAUGUUUUCAUUCAAGUUAUGGAAUAAACUGCUAAGCCUUGCAUAGGACACUUAAGAACCUCCCCAGCAACACACAUGUACACACAUACGCACACAUACACCCACCCCCUUCAUCCUCCAGAUUGCUACUGCGCUGGUGGUGUUUUACCAACUUCACAUUAUUAUGUGGCCAUAUGUCAGAUCUCUGGGCUUCCCCAGUGGAGCAGUGGUAAAGAGCGGUAAAGAGCUCCUGCAGGAGCCAUAGGAGAUGCAAGUUUGAUCCCUGUAUCAGGAAGAUUCCCUGGAGGAGGGCAGGGAGACCCACUCCAGUAUUCCUGUCUGGAGAAUCCCAUGGACAGAGGACCCCGGUGGGCUACAGUCCAUAGGAUCACAAAGAGUUGGACACGACUGAAGUGACCUAGCACGCCUGCACAUAUCUUAUCUCCAGCUGGUUCUCUGGCUGUAUAUGAUAUUUGGCUGCCUUGCAAACAAGGUCUCCUGCAGAUUGCUCUCCCAAGGGCUUCUCUUAGAUUAAGAAAUACAUGUGACUCUAUGAAGAUACGCUG